rnacentral:tRNA from 1 species
AAAAUCUUAAGUAUAUAAAACUAGGGGCCUUCAAAGCUCAAAUAAAGAGUUUACCCUCUUAGGUUUUA